CGUACACUCCUACGGGAGGCAGCAGUGGGGAAUAUUGGACAAUGGGCGCAAGCCUGAUCCAGCCAUGCCGCGUGAGUGAUGAAGGCCCUAGGGUUGUAAAGCUCUUUCACCGGUGAAGAUAAUGACGGUAACCGGAGAAGAAGCCCCGGCUAACUUCGUGCCAGCAGCCGCGGUAAUACGAAGGGGGCUAGCGUUGUUCGGAUUUACUGGGCGUAAAGCGCACGUAGGCGGACUAUUAAGUCAGGGGUGAAAUCCCGGGGCUCAACCCCGGAACUGCCUUUGAUACUGGUAGUCUUGAGUUCGAGAGAGGUGAGUGGAAUUCCGAGUGUAGAGGUGAAAUUCGUAGAUAUUCGGAGGAACACCAGUGGCGAAGGCGGCUCACUGGCUCGAUACUGACGCUGAGGUGCGAAAGCGUGGGGAGCAAACAGGAUUAGAAACCCCAGUAGUCCCAUGA
rnacentral:rRNA from 1 species